rnacentral:lncRNA from 1 species
AGCUAAAUAUAAAGACACAAUAAGCAAGAGCAAGAAAACCAGCAUUGUUUCCCACUUUGUGAGAAUUAGGAAUUGUAAGUCCCAAUAAAUUAAAUCAGAAACACUAGUAGAAGGAAAAGGCAGAAAACUAAUAUCCAUUUAAAGAUUUGAAUGUGUUUAUCAAAGUCACAUGAAAAUUAUAAUCAAACACAUCCUCGAAGUUCGU